UACGUAGGGGGCCAGCGUUGCUCGGAAUUACUGGGCGUAAAGGGCUCGUAGGCGGCCAACUAAGUCAGACGUGAAAUCCCUCGGCUUAACCGGGGAACUGCGUCUGAUACUGGACGGCUUGAGAUUGGGAGAGGGAUGCGGAAUUCCAGGUGUAGCGGUGAAAUGCGUAGAUAUCUGGAGGAACACCGGUGGCGAAGGCGGCAUCCUGGACUACUACUGACGCUGAGGAGCGAAAGCCAGGGGAGCAAACGGG
rnacentral:rRNA from 1 species